UUUUUUUUUUUUUUUUUUUUUACCUGAGUACCUUUCUCUUUUGCCGGUCCUUGGCGGCUGCAGACCUGGCUGAUUUUAGUGACUCCGGGGUGCUCCCAGAUAUUCGUGCCACCUUUAAAAUCCAAAAUCCCCCGACUCUCGCUUGCUCUUUUCUCAUCCCAACCGUAGAUCCUUACUCCUCAUGGUAAAUUCGUUUUUAAAUUAAUUUGAGUGUGAUCCUUGCAUGCAGAACUCACUGGAUAACGAUGUCUUAUUGGGUGAAUCAGAAGCCAUCCUGUUGGCGACUUAUCUUAAUUUCUGGAUAUUAAACUACACAGUAGCUGUGUUGUUUGCCCUUAAGAAAGGUCUUAAAUUUCCACCUCUAAAAUACCACACUAUACAAUCAUUUUCAUAGGUGGAUGUCUACCAAGAUUGAUUCACUAAAAAAAAGAAAGAAAGAAAGAAAGAAAGAAAGAAAGAAAGAAAGAAAGAAAACAUGAUGCAGAGUUUUUUUUUUAAUGUUGUAGAAACAUUUCAUACUGAGCCAGAUGAUUUGUCCUGCCACACCAUUUAUUAUGGCUUUUCACUAACUGUAAGAUUUAACAGGAAAUUGAUAUGGCAUAAAUAGAUAACUUUUCCUUGUUCACCAGCUAAGAUUUUAUUUGCUUUCUGUUAUAUCACAGUAGCUCUAUCAUAAUAAUGAUAGAACAAUUAGUAUAUCCUUGUAGAUAAAUAAUGAUUUGAGCAUUUAUCAUUGUUUUAUGUAGAAUUUGUUGUGAGAGCGUAUAUGAAAUUUUAUUUUUAUAAGUGUUGAUAAAUAGUAGAUUUUUUUUGCUUUUGGAUAAUGACUGAAGACAAAAAUAGCUCAUAAGAAAAAAAAACCUUAAGGUUUAUUUAAGAAACUUAAAACUCUAAAGAAACUUUUCCUUAAAAAAACAGGGUCAUUAACCGGUAAAAACUUGACCAUGGAGAAUUAGGAAGGGAGAAUCAGAAAGUCAGCUCUGCUUCCCCUGCAGUGACUCAGGAACAACAAAAAAUGAGGAAAGGUACAGCCCUUCUGAUGCAGUCAUCACUGUGCAAAAGCAUCUCUCUGGUAUCAAGGGGGGGGGGGUGUCAUUCAAGUGUUCCCACCUUCUCUGAGGUUAACAAGCAGAAUCUACAAGUUACUGUCUUAGUAACAACCAAUCGCAUCGGAUACCUGCUUCCUUAAAUGCUAUGGGAGUAGGGGCAGGAUUUAGGGUCGGGGCAAGUUCUGGGAAGAGGCGCUCUGUGGAAACAGCCUUGGGGCCCCAGGAUUUGUCAGCAGCUCUCUGCUCUCUCUUGCCCUCUGGAUUCCCCAGGCUUCUCGGGGCUGCCUUUAGAAAGCUCUCAUCCUAGUGGCCGCCCGAGUUUGCUCCAGCCGCGAUAACGAAGGGGCUUGCUAUCUAAUCUGGACAGCAGCUUGAACAAUCCAUUAGACCUCGGCAUUUAUCCGGGGCGGGGGUGGAGGGAGGGAUGCGAUCUGGCUGCCCCACCCUGUUCUGGGAGGCUUUGAGCUGCCCCAUUUGGCGACAGGAGGGAUUAAUGAAAUAGAGAGUUUGGUGUGGGCUCAAAACUGACCACUGCGAAGUAGGCUUCCUGAGGCUGGUAUGUUAUAUUUCUAUCCUUUGCCAGUAUAAGAAUGAAUUAGAAUCCCUUUGGGUUUGGCAGAUCAAAUUUCCUUUUAAGAAGUUCAACAUAUAGUUUAAGAAGUUCAAUAUAUAGUUUACAUAGUCUCAUUCAAACUCCACAAUAAUCAAAGGGCACUGUAAGAAUCCAAUAUUCACCAAUAUUCCUCCGGACUUGGGAGACUUAAAUCCAUCCUCCAUUCUUUCGUUCAUUCAUUCAGCAAACAUUUACAAAGCUUUACUCUGGGCCAGGCAUUGUGCCUUGUACUGACAGGUUAAAUUAUUUGCCCAAGAUGAGAACUCCACUGGCGACUGGGGUGGGACCCUAAAUCAACUAUUCCAGUCCCGUGACUGCUCACUUCUUUACUCCAACACAUACAAAUCAGAGAGGUCGGGAGCUAGAAGGGCCCCAGAGGUUAUCUGGUUCAGCCUUCCAUUCAAUGCAGGAAUCCCCUCCCCAGAAGGCCAGCAACAGUCUCUACCCUUAGUAAUAAUCACUCCUGCCUGAGAUUUCCGCUUGAAAGUGACUCACUGGACUGGCAGGUCUUUCCCUGAGAGAGGAUCAUCUCUGCCUGCCCACACCUAAACUCAGGGUGCUAAGCCCCUCAUGCUGCUGCAACCCACAUCCCACUAACCCAGCUGUGCCACUUCCCCUUCAGACUUCUCCUGGAGAGGGAAAUCCCAGUUGCUAGACACUAACCCCAUGAAACUUUAAAGCUCUAUGGGCCUUAGGCAAAUCUUCACUUGCCCACAGAGGAUAUUUGCUGGCAGAGAAAACACUAUAGGCAAUAGCCAAAGAAUCACCAGAGCCUGGAUUCUAGUCCUGAUGCAACCAGCUGCAAACUGGGUGACCGCAAGCAAAUUAUUUCUCUUCUAUUUCUGGCAUAUCCUAGAAAUAAGAUGUAUGAAUGUGCUUCUCAAUAGUUGAGUGCCACCUUCUUCCAAGAUAAAUUUUCCCUUCGUACAUAAUCUGAGAUUAUUCUCAUUUGCUGGUUAAAAAGGUAAAGGCUACAAAAGGCAACUUCUGGACAAUAAGCUCAUGACAAAGAAUGUUCUGGAAACUUUAGAUUUGAUGAGAUACUAAGUGCAAAUUGUCCCUGGGUCAGUGGUAAGAGUCUGGACUCCAGUGUUACAAUAAUAUGUUGAAUCUCAUCUGCACUACUUACUGGCUGUGUUACUUGGGCAUAUUCUUAACAUUUCUGUGCUUCAGUUUCUUAUAUUUUGAAAUUCCCAUAAACUUUACAAGACAGGGACGCCUGGGUGGCUCAGCAAUUGAGCAUCUGCCUUCCGCUCAGGACGUGAUCCCGGGAUCUCACAUCGGGCUCUUUGCAUGGAGCCUGCUUAUCCUCCCUCUGCCUGUGUCUCUCCUCUCUCUCUGUGUCUCUUAUGAAUAAAUAAAUAAAAUAUUUUUUUAAAUUAAAAAAAAACUUUACAAGACAAACAGGACCUCUCCUCAGUCCCUGAAAUAGUCUCUACAGCGUGAUUCAUUCAGUUGGGCAUCAAUGUCCCUCCUUGAUUUCUUUUUUUUUUUUUUUCCUCCUUGAUUUCAUUUGGCUUUGUUUGUUUGUUUCUUACCUCUGGCUUCAAAGCCCUUAAGAAAUUAAAUUUGUCUGAUAAAAUGUGGAAAUUUACCUGAAAAAUUGAUAGAUGUAUUUUUAAGUUAUCUGGCCCAAAAUUGAGUGCUGCUGGUGGUGGAAAUUUUGGAUGCAACAUUUCUAGAACGCAAUCUUGCAAUACAGAUCUAAAACCCUAUAAGUGUUCACAUUCUUGGGCCCACUUUUCCAGUAAUAGAAAUUUACACCCCGCCCCAAAAAAGAAAUUUACCCCAAGGAAAGAAUCAGAGGUCUAUGAGGUGCCCUACUUACCAAAAUGUAUGUCAAUUUGACAAGGGCACAUCAAACUUCUAUUUAUUAUAGCAAAAAGUAGAAAACAACACAAACUAUGAACAGUAAGAGUUUAUUUACAUAAACAACGCAAAACCUAUAAUGUAGCCGUCACACUGUUUCCUUAAAAUAUUUAAUGACAGAGGGACGCCUGGGUGACUCAGUCAGUAGAGCCAGCCCCAGACUCUUGGCUUCAGCUCAGGUCAUGAUCUCAGGGUUGUGAGAUUGAGCCCUGCGCAGGGCUUGCUCCAUGCUCUGCUUGUUCGUCUCCCUCCCCGCACCCUCGUGCUUUCUUUUUCAAAUAAAUAAGUAAAUAAAUAAAAUCUUUAAAAAUAUGUAAUGACAUGGAAAUUGUCGUAUUUAAAAAAAUUAAAAAUAGACUGCAAAAACACUCUAUACGGUGUGAAAGUGGUGGAGAGAGGUGGGAGGAAGGAGAAAACAAAUGUUCUCAGUGGUUCUUUCUGGCUGAUGCAGUGAAGGAUAGAUUUUCUCUUUCUUGAUAUGCUUUCCUGUAUUUUCCAAAUGAAUUACAAUGAGUUCCUGUUUCCUUGACAUUAGAAAAAGAGAUGUUUUGAGAGGCGUGGGGAGGAUUGAUCAAAUCCAAGAUAUGUCUCUUCCUAUGAUUUUGAUUUUGUGACUAUUGUGCUUAUGACAAAAGCAUAUCCAUUUUAGAGAAUUCUGCUUUAGACUUCGAAAACUCAAUGGACUCAAACUCCAAGAAUAGUCUCGGACUCUUGAUUCCUGGAUGAAGACGUUUACCAUUGGUAGGAGUGAUUUUUCCACAAAGAGGUCUCCCCUCCCCCUUUAGAAAAUUUUUUCACAGCCAUCCAGAUUGUCUCAGAAUUUCACUUGUAACCUUGAGUGUUUCUGAAAUUGAAAACAAUAGUCUAACUUCUUGUAACUUUCCUCUUCUCAAAACUCCCUUUGCUGGCAGAAGAGUGUGCUGGAAUGUAAGGCCAGGUGCUGGUCCAGCUGCAAAUAAAAGCUGAUUAUUCAGACCCCGGAGAAGGGGAGGAGAGCUUGGACAGGGGAGGGAAGACAGACCUUUGGUGGUGCCCCAAAGCUGGAGAGGGUGUUCAAAAAGAAGACCUUUGUGAAAGCAAGAAAGUUAACCCCUAAGAAUGGGACUGAAGACCAUAUGAAUUACAGGACAUGUUUCAAUGACUGUCAGCUCCCAUUAUUGAACUGAAAUAGUUUUAAUUUAUUAAAAGGAGUAGCACUUUAUAAAGAUGAAGGCUGCUUUCCUCCCCCUUUAUAAGCAGAGUGUGAAAUGAGCUUGUGUGUGUGUGUGGGGGGAGAAUAUUAACAAAAAGGAACAAAAUCCCACCAUAAACUUAGGGAAACUUAGGGGCAUCUGGCUGGCUCACUGAGUGUAACGUGCAACUCUAGAUCUCGGGGUUGUAAGUUCAAGCCUCAUAUUGGGUGUAGAGAUUACUUAAAAAUAAAAUCUUUUAAAAAGUAUGUACUAAAAUUUAGUGAAACUUCAAAAGACCUUGUACUGAGAUUUUUAAUUAAAAUGUGGCACAUUUGGUCAACAGAAGAUAAAAGUAACAUCAAACUAAAGAUCAGUUUCAUUGUUGUUAAUUAGCAAGUAAACAUUUAACAAAAAUUGUAGUCUAAGUAUAGUAGAAAUAUAGACUUAAAAUACCUCUCCUAUUCUCCUUCUUUAUUUAUUCAGGAGAGGCAGAGAGACAUAGGCAGAAGGAGAAGCAGGCUCCCUGUAGGGAGCCCAAUAUAGGACUGGAUCCCAGGACCCCAGGAUCAGGCCCUGUGCCAAAGGCAGAUGCUCAACUGAGCCACCCAGGCGCCCCACUUUUUAAAAUUUUUUUAACAUUGAGGUCAGCCUUUGUUUGUUUGGCAGGCCACAAGGGAAUCUGAAUAGAAUUUUGGUAGAACCACAGAACUUUAAUUUUUAUAGGAUUACAGUUUUUUUUUUAAGUUUCAGUUUAUUUUAUUUAUGAUAGUCACACAGAGAAAGAGAGAGAUAGAGGCAGAGACAUAGGCAGAGGGAGAAGCAGGCUCCAUGCACCGGGAGCCCGAUGUGGGAUUCGAUCCCAGGUCUCCAGGAUCGCGCCCUGGGCCAAAGGCAGGGGCCAAACCGCUGCGCCACCCAGGGAUCCCAGGAUUACAGUUUUGUAGACUGUUCAUCUCUGCCUUUCUCCUCUACAAGGCAAGCAGGACCCAGUUAAGCAUCAUGUUCAUCUUCAUAUCACAUUUGCUAGCCCCCUGCACAGUACAGACAUGGUAGUACUGUCCUGAAGAAUAAUUCUCAGAGGGACAUGUUCCAGACACCUUUGCUGACUGAAUUCUCUACAACAAAAAUCCUCAGCAACAACUGGCUUUCUCUCACAGGUCCCUGAAGGGAAUCAAACCCAAAGCCUUGGGCAGACCACAAGUACUCUUGCCUGGCCAGAGUGUAUCCCAAAGCAAUGGGUAUGAGGAAAACCAGAGCUGGGAAGGGUACAUAUUUUCGAAGCCUUUGGAAAAUGCUUUAUUUUCUACUGGGAGAAACUGGGAGUUCCUAGGUCUGUAGGCCAGUAAGAUAUUGACUGAUUUUCUUAUCACUAUGCCAUUUAGCGUUCUCAGAAAUGUCUCAUCAGACACAGGUUUUUCUUGAAGACUCAACUGUUAUAUAUUCGCUUUAUAAAGAUUAUGUAAUCUUUAUAUAAUUUUUAAAUGAUUUCAACAUGUCAUCAAAGUAGAAUAAGACAAAAAAAAAGUAGAAUAAGACAAGUCAAAUAAUCCUUCCCUUGGCCCUGCUACAAACUGAUUAACCAAACAGUACCUCGAAUUGUAAAUUGCUCUCGUAUGUAAAUUGGGGACAAUGAAUAAUAUUCAUCAAAGUACUUUUACAUAUAUGUCACACUUGAUCUUCACAUUUGAUUGCUCUCUGGAGUAAUCAGUGUAUCACUGUAUUGUGCCCAUUUUAUAGAUGAGGACACUGAGACUCAGAAGUGCUGCAUUGCCAAAGGUCACAGUACUAAUAAGUAACAGAAUACAACUGAAAAUGCUCUGCUAUAACUACCAAGUGCUGCCUCCCGCACCCACCAGGGAUAUGCCAAGGAUUCUUGAGACAUGAAUAUGAACUAAUCUGUAAUUGUUCUAAUAGGUGUUAUCAGGAUCCCUUAAUUUCCUCAUUUGAAAAUCAUGGAAUCUAGGAAUAACAGAGCUGCAAGUCUCUUACAGCUGAUCUAGGAACCCACCCCCUUCAUUCUGCAGGUGAAGCACAAGGAGGUUAAGUGAUUUGCCAAAGGUUACCCCAUGAGUUAGUGGAAAAUGACCAAUGUGAUUUUUAAAAAUUAGUUUAAAAAACUGCCUACCAAGCCCAUUUUUAUGGCUUAUUUUAAGCAGGUUAAUAAGUAUACCAGACAUAGCUUUAAACCCAACUGAGUAAAUGCUGACACUAGUUUAUAGAUUUAGCAGAUAAGUAGCAAUAAGGAAUUAUUCAUCUCUCAUUUAUCAUCCAGCCUCUCCAAGGUGCAAGGUAUAAAGUGAAGUAAAUAGCACUUUAAGAGCCUCCACACAUGUGAGAUCAAAACAGUAAAAAAUAAAGUGGUUUACAAAGCCAUACGUUUACAAUGUGGCUGUGCCUGAGGUUUCCUGAAAUGUGAAAAAAGAGAGAAAUUGAGGCAGAUUUUUGCAUUUUACAAAUAGACAAUUUCUUAUACAGAGAAUUCAGUCUCCAGAUUUCUUCAAGCAUAAUUAAUUUUUUGAAGUAUAUGGGAGCACCUACUCUGUGCAGAGCAUUGUGGGAGAUCUGGAGCAUUAUUAAAUAUUAUUACAGCCAUCAAUGACUUAUUUUAAGCUUAACGAAGUGACAAAAUAAAGCAUACACACACACAUAUAUACACAUGCACUUGCAUUUCGAAGAGUCAGGCGGGUAUAAGGGGGAUGUUUAUGUGAGAAUAGGAGGAAAGGGGAGACUGCCUGACUGCUGGGGUAGCCAUAACAAGGAGCACAGUAAGGAGGUGGCCUUGCCACAACCUUGUCCCCAACACCAUUUCUUUAUCAUGAGAAUGGAGUUGGGAAACAUCAUGAGCAGGGGAAAAUUCAUAAAACAAACAGGAGACAGUGAAUUGAUUACCCAAUUAAGAACCAAAUCAAAAAAUCCUCUCCCAUUUAGCUAGAUAUUAAAUACAAACUGGUAGAGAGAUGGAGGAGGGACUCAAAGAGUGCCAAGAGCAGUAACAUAAAGUAACAUAUCCCAAAAA
rnacentral:lncRNA from 1 species